ACUAGUCGAGCGGUUGUGCGUGGAUAAUAAACGGGCAUCAAGUGUAUCGCCGAAGCUAUGGACUCUACGGAGUGGUAGGGGAGCAUUCCAUCGACGCCGAAGCCGUGUCGUAAGGCAUGGUGGAGUUUAUGGAAAAGCAAAUGUAGGCAUAAGUAACGAUAAGGCGGGAGAGAAACCCGCCCACCGCAAGACCAAGGUUUCCUGAUCAACGCUAAUCGGAUCAGGGUUAGUCGGGUCCUAAGGGUAAGCCGUUAGGUGAUCUCGAUGGACAAUCGGUUAAUAUUCCGAUACCGAUGCAUACUGCGACGGAGGGACGGAGAAGCGUAAGCUGCGCCAACAUACGGAAUUGUUGGUUAAAGAGCGUAGGUAUAGGACGACGUUAAUAGCGACGUUUUGCUGAAACUCGACAGUACCGAGCGGCUACGGCCAAUCGGAUAGUCAGCCCAAGUCAAGCUUCCGAGAAAAACUUCUAAGCUUCAGGAUAUGCAUCGCCCGUACCGUAAACCGACACAGGUGGUCGAGGAGAGUAUCCUCAGGUGCUUGAGUGAAUCACGGAUAAGGAACUAGGCAAAUUGACCCCGUAACUUAGGGAUAAGGGGUCCCCACGUGAGUGGGGCGCAGCGAAAAGGUCCAGGCAACUGUUUAACAAAAACAUAGGGCUAUGCUAAUUCGAGAGAAGACGUAUAUGGCCUGACACCUGCCCGGUGCUGGAAGGUUAAGAGGGGAUGUUAGCGCAAGCGAAGCAUUGAAUCGAAGCCCCAGUAAACGGCGGCCGUAACUAUAACGGUCCUAAGGUAGCGAAAUUCCUUGUCGGGUAAGUUCCGACCUGCACGAAUGGUGUAAUGAUUUGGACACUGUCUCGUCCGUGAGCUCAGUGAAAUUGUAGUCCCGGUGAAGAUGCCGGGUACCCGCAACGGGACGAAAAGACCCCGUGAACCUUUACUGCAGCUUAACGCUGAAUUUGGGUGCAUGAUGUGUAGGAUAGGCAGGAGACUGCGAAGCGGUACCGCCAGGUAUCGUGGAGUCGCCGUUGAAAUACUGCCCUUUGUGUAUUUGAAUUCUAACCCUGUUUAGGGGACACCGUUUGGUGGGUAGUUUGACUGGGGUGGUCGCCUCCAAAAGCGUAACGGAGGCUUCCCAAGGUACCCUCAGCACGAAUGGUAACCGUGCGCAGAGUGCAAUGGCACAAGGGUGCUUGACUGCGAGACUCACAAGUCGACCAGGUGCGAAAGCAGGGCAUAGUGAUCCGGUGGUUCUGUGUGGACUGGCCAUCGCUCAAAG
rnacentral:rRNA from 1 species